AGCAGCCGCGGUAAUUCCAGCUCCAAUAGCGUAUAUUAAAGUUGUUGCAGUUAAAAAGCUCGUAGUUGAAUUUCGGGAUUAGUACGUUGGUCGUGCCUUCGGUACGUACUGGUGUUACUGAUUCCUACCUUCUGACGAACCAUCAUGUCAUUAAUUUGGUGUGGCGGGGAAUCAGGACUGUUACUUUGAAAAAAUUAGAGUGUUUAAAGCAGGCUCGCGCUUGAAUACAUUAGCAUGGAAUAAUGAAAUAGGACGUUGACCCUAUUUUGUUGGUUUCUAGGAUUGACGUAAUGAUUAAUAGGGAUAGUUGGGGGCAUUAGUAUUCAAUUGUCAGAGGUGAAAUUCUUGGAUUUAUUGAAGACUAACUACUGCGAAAGCAUUUGCCAAGGAUGUUUUCAUUAAUCAAGAACGAAAGUUAGGGGAUCGAAGACGAUCAGAUACCGUCGUAGUCUUAACCAUAAACUAUGCCGACUAGGGAUCGGAUGAUGUUAUUUUUAAUGACUCAUUCGGCGCCUUACGG
rnacentral:rRNA from 1 species